GUCCUGGGAUUCGCUGGAUGGCGUAGUCAGUGAUUCCGACGGCGCCUCCUCUUCGUGUAUAACCAUCUUCUUUUCCUGACUCGGUGCUAUGGUCUCCUCAAAAUAGUUCUGUUCAAGAUGUGUGUCUUCAGACCUUACCACUUCUCCUUCGUAGUCUACCCAUCCGUCUUUGAUGAUUUGCGUCCUUUGGUUUCGGUUGCGUCGCCUUCAGAGGGGAAGUGAAUGUGGACUUCUCCGGUUCCAAUAUAGAUGAUGUCUUUGAUAGUGUUGAGGAACGGUCUUCCAAGGAUGGUGGGUGGAUCAUACUCGUCGUCUCCCAUGUCAAUGACCUGAAAAUCAUCUGGAGCUGAAUGUAUGUUGGUUGUAG
rnacentral:lncRNA from 1 species